UCGGAGCUUGCUCCGAUCGGAUUAGUGGCGGACGGGUGAGUAACGUGUGAGUAACCUGCCUGCGAGAGGGGGAUAACAACGGGAAACUGUUGCUAAUACCGCAUAACGCAUCGAUUCCGCAUGGAGAUGAUGCCAAAGGGAAACCGCUUGCAGAUGGACUCGCGUCUGAUUAGGUAGUUGGUGAGGUAACGGCUCACCAAGCCGACGAUCAGUAGCCGGACUGAGAGGUUGAACGGCCACAUUGGAACUGAGAUACGGUCCAGACUCC
rnacentral:rRNA from 1 species